AGGUUCCUCCUUGGCUUCUCUUUUUUCAUCACCUCUGUCUCUACUAUAUAAAUAUAAAUCUUAAUAUCAUGCUUUCAUUCAUUGUGUUUCGUCUAAUUGUUUGGAACUCAACGUAUCAAAAUACUCACUUUAAGAGUUACAAAAAAAUACUUACUUUUUAAAUUUAUUUUUGAACAGAGAACUUGGGAGAGGAUGGUGUCAACUUUUACGCUUUGGGCUGUGAGUCACAGACUGUAACGUUGUGGGCCAGAUAAAAAAGAGAAAAUGGAUGACGUGUUAGAGCUACACCAGUGUCGAAGAUCUGAAAAAAAGUUUCCAUGGCCACCGCUUCUGUCGUAUAUGACUCAGUGAACCUCUCCACUUAUCUGUUACACUUGGUAAACCUUCCACCCUAUUGAUUCAUCUGCUUGAAGAUGUUUCAUCAUCGUUGCUCACUGAAAGCAGCAGCAACAACUACCUUGAUUUGAUAAAGUGACAUAGCGGUUUGUGGAGGAAGCACUACAAGAGCACGGAGGAGAGAAGAGGAUAUUUCCAAACGCAAGAAGGUGAUUCUGAAAAAAAAAAGAGAAAGUCUGUUCUUCAGUUGUCUACGAGAUGAUUUUUGCUUUUAGCUGCAAGCAAAUAAUGAAAGUAUGAUUCUGUACUCAGAAGUCAAAAGGCUGGACUUAUCCACUCUUCUUACAAUUUAAACUGCAUCUGAAUAAGAUUUGUUGUUUUAGCUACACCUUACAUCUCUGAAUAACUCUUCUAAAACUGUACGAUAUUUUUGUUUUAAAAGCCUUGCCAACCUUCUUGGUUGUGAAAUGUUUUAGAUCAUUUGGAGGAGUAAUAAAGUUUAUAUGUUAUCACAAAUCACAUAUAUAGAUUGAAUAAAAGCAACACAGGCAGAGAUAAACAUUGGCAUGCCAACGUAUGCACCACAAAAAGAACUAUUAAGUUAUCAUCAUAUCAAAAUCUAGGUGGCAUUAAGCACAGCCUAUCAAAAAAAAAAUUUUAAAUACAGUGUGUUAAUGUUAUCGGCUAAAAAAAACUAUAAACAAAAACCGAGCUUGCGCAUUAAGAUAGUUAUCGUAAUUAAAUCCGAACACCCUUGUGAGUGAGAGUUUCAAAGUUAUCAAACUGUCAACCCCUAGGAUAUUAACUAUUCCGUGCGCAGGGUGAAUUAAUUUGACAAAUAUUUAAAAAUAUAGUAUUAAAAAUUUUAUUUUUAACAUUUGAUUAACUUUUUUACACAUAUAUAAUUAUAUUUUUUGUUGUUAUAAUAUAAGUUCUGCCGGAUGGACCGAAUCCAUAAUUAUUAUAAAUUGUGGACCUAAACAAUAAGUAUUAUAUCAUGGACCGAUCAGUUUGGGCCUAAAAACUUAUGACACAAAAACCUUAUACUUUUUUCCAUCAAACAUAUUCUUCUUCUUAUCAAAUUUAAUCUCAAAACUGAAUUAGGUUAAUAGAUGCAAUAGACACUUGCGCUUCAAUUUAUGUAAGGAGCCUUUGGUACACUGAGCGAUUGCUAAUAAGAGUUGUCAUUAAACAACACAUACAACAUUCUCUUAUUAUACACGGUUAAACAAUACGAAAAUUCUAUAAGUUGUCCACUAGCUUUGGCAUUGUAUCCCAAUUAUUCAGUGCAUACCAUAUUUUCUAAAGAAUUUAAAAUAUAAGUUUAUUACGAUUUAAAAGGCUAUUUCUAAAUAAAAUACGAAAAAUAUAAGUAUGACAACUUUAAAAAUAAAUCAUCCCAAAUGAAGCAUAAAAUGAUUGUUCCAAAAUAUAAAGUAAACUAAAAAUCUCUAACUCUCGAACCGCAAGAACAAAACGCCGUAACAAAAAUGUUGUAAUAAUGUAAAAUUGUAAAUAUAUAGAUCAGCAAUGACCCGUGUUAAUACUUUUUAUUCUUCAUAGGAUAUGUCAUAAGCAAAUCAUAUGGAAUUAUGCUUACAUUGACUUGAAGUAUUGUAUCUCUGGAAUUUUGGGAUCAAAUAAAAUUUGAGGACAUUCUAUAUGUUUGAAGCAAUCUAUAUAAGAAAUAGAUGUCCACAUAUCAUAACACUCCCAAUUGAAUCGAUUAGGACCAUCUCAGUAGUAAGACCACCUGCAAAAGAAUAUUGUUUCUAAAGUUAUAUGAUCUUCGCCUUGAUCUUCCACAUGGAUUGAGUGGUUCCAAGUCACACGCAAGGCUAAAAGCGGCCGUUGGAAGUCAAGGAGCAAUAUAUUUUUCUAGGUUAUUCAAUUUUUGGUAGUUGUAAUCACAAUGAACUUCCCAUAUGCUUCUUAAUUUCUUAUAUAGAAUACAUUAUAUAUUUUAUGAGAAAGAUAUUAUGAGUGCCUAGCAAGUUUUCGAGAAAGAUAAUGCAAGUUUCUGUAUUACAGAAUAGUAUUUAAUAGAUAAUGCAAGUUUCUGUAUUACAGAAUAUUGUAAGGGAAAUAUGCGACCAACGUUAUAUUUUAAAACUAUGGUUUAUAUAAGGUGCUCUAGAAUUAUUUUAAAUAGGAUUUAGUAGGCAUACACAACUGCCACAUAAGAUGAGGUUUUUUUUUAAUUAAUACAAACUUAAGGUUCUUAUUUUUUAAGAGAUUCUCAAUUAAUAUAUAGGGAAAGUCAGGGUUAACGUAAACUUCCGUAUUCAGGUUAACAAAAUGCACAACUGCAUGUUUACAUAGUAAAUCCUACCUCACAUAACCAUACAAAACACGAAUACCUUGCAUUAACAGCCGCUCUUAUACGUUCAUUAUAAUAAAAUUGAUCACGUAUAAUUCUAUGUUUCUACUUUAUCCAAUAAAACCACACAUUAUAUGGUUUUUCCUUCAUCAACAAUAUAUGAAACUUUUAUUCUCUAUUCUAGACCACUACGACUAUACCAAACAAAACACUAGAGCCCACCUCUUAUACCAUUUUUAAACUAUAAUAACGUAUGCAUUUUUUAAUAUUAGAAAGCAAUUCUCUGUAAUUAAAGAAUAAUGCAAUAAAAAA